rnacentral:rRNA from 1 species
UGAGGAAUAUUGGUCAAUGGGCUGAGGCCUGAACCAGCCAAGUCGCGUGAGGGAAGACGGUCCUAUGGAUUGUAAACCUCUUUUGUCGGGGAGCAACGACGUCACGAGUGACGGAAGUGAGAGUACCCGAAGAAAAAGCAUCGGCUAACUCCGUGCCAGCAGCCGCGGUAAUACGGAGGAUGCGAGCGUUAUCCGGAUUUAUUGGGUUUAAAGGGUGCGUAGGCGGACUGUUAAGUCAGCGGUAAAAAAUUCGGGGCCCAACCCCGUCAUGCCGUUGAAACUGGCGGACUAGAGUGGGCGAGAAGUAUGCGGAAUGCGAGGUGUAGCGGUGAAAUGCAUAGAUAUCACGCAGAACUCCGAUUGCGAAGGCAGCAUACCGGCGCCCAACUGACGCUGAGGCACGAAAGCGUGGGGAUCGAACAGGAUUAGAUACC